GACGAACGCUGGCGGCGUGCUUAACACAUGCAAGUCGAACGCUGAAGCUCAGCUUGCUGGGUGGAUGAGUGGCGAACGGGUGAGUAACACGUGAGUAACCUGCGCCCUUCAUUGGGAUAACGCCCGAGAACGGGUGCUAAUACUGGAGAUUCACUGAUCUUCGCCUGGGGGGUGGUGGAAAGGUUUCUGCUGGUGGGGGAUGGGCUGGCGGACUAUCGGCUGGUUGGUGGGGUGAUGGCUUACCAAGGCUUUGACGGGUAGCCGGCCUGAGAGGGUGACCGGGCACAUGGCGACUGACAUAGGGCCUAGGAUCCGGCGCGAGGCAGUAGUGGGGAAAACUGUACGAUGGGCUAAAGCAUGAUGCAGCGACGCCGCGUGAGGGAUGGCGGCCUUCGGGUUGUAAACCUCUUUCGAUCAUGCUCAAGCCGCAACAGUGGUUGUGGUGAGGGUAGUGGGUAAAGAAGCGCCGGCUAACUACGUG
rnacentral:rRNA from 1 species